UUAAGCGACUAAGCGUACACGGUGGAUGCCCUGGCAGUCAGAGGCGAUGAAGGACGUGCUAAUCUGCGAUAAGCGUCGGUAAGGUGAUAUGAACCGUUAUAACCGGCGAUUUCCGAAUGGGGAAACCCAGUGUGUUUCGACACACUAUCAUUAACUGAAUCCAUAGGUUAAUGAGGCGAACCGGGGGAACUGAAACAUCUAAGUACCCCGAGGAAAAGAAAUCAACCGAGAUUCCCCCAGUAGCGGCGAGCGAACGGGGAGGAGCCCAGAGCCUGAAUCAGUAUGUGUGUUAGUGGAAGCGUCUGGAAAGGCGCGCGAUACAGGGUGACAGCCCCGUACACAAAAAUGCACAUAUUGUGAGCUCGAUGAGUAGGGCGGGACACGUGGUAUCCUGUCUGAAUAUGGGGGGACCAUCCUCCAAGGCUAAAUACUCCUGACUGACCGAUAGUGAACCAGUACCGUGAGGGAAAGGCGAAAAGAACCCCGGCGAGGGGAGUGAAAAAGAACCUGAAACCGUGUACGUACAAGCAGUGGGAGCCUCUUUAUGGGGUGACUGCGUACCUUUUGUAUAAUGGGUCAGCGACUUAUAUUCUGUAGCAAGGUUAACCGAAUAGGGGAGCCGAAGGGAAACCGAGUCUUAACUGGGCGUUAAGUUGCAGGGUAUAGACCCGAAACCCGGUGAUCUAGCCAUGGGCAGGUUGAAGGUUGGGUAACACUAACUGGAGGACCGAACCGACUAAUGUUGAAAAAUUAGCGGAUGACUUGUGGCUGGGGGUGAAAGGCCAAUCAAACCGGGAGAUAGCUGGUUCUCCCCGAAAGCUAUUUAGGUAGCGCCUCGUGAAUUCAUCUCCGGGGGUAGAGCACUGUUUCGGCAAGGGGGUCAUCCCGACUUACCAACCCGAUGCAAACUGCGAAUACCGGAGAAUGUUAUCACGGGAGACACACGGCGGGUGCUAACGUCCGUCGUGAAGAGGGAAACAACCCAGACCGCCAGCUAAGGUCCCAAAGUCAUGGUUAAGUGGGAAACGAUGUGGGAAGGCCCAGACAGCCAGGAUGUUGGCUUAGAAGCAGCCAUCAUUUAAAGAAAGCGUAAUAGCUCACUGGUCGAGUCGGCCUGCGCGGAAGAUGUAACGGGGCUAAACCAUGCACCGAAGCUGCGGCAGCGACGCUUAUGCGUUGUUGGGUAGGGGAGCGUUCUGUAAGCCUGUGAAGGUGUACUGUGAGGUAUGCUGGAGGUAUCAGAAGUGCGAAUGCUGACAUAAGUAACGAUAAAGCGGGUGAAAAGCCCGCUCGCCGGAAGACCAAGGGUUCCUGUCCAACGUUAAUCGGGGCAGGGUGAGUCGACCCCUAAGGCGAGGCCGAAAGGCGUAGUCGAUGGGAAACAGGUUAAUAUUCCUGUACUUGGUGUUACUGCGAAGGGGGGACGGAGAAGGCUAUGUUGGCCGGGCGACGGUUGUCCCGGUUUAAGCGUGUAGGCUGGUUUUCCAGGCAAAUCCGGAAAAUCAAGGCUGAGGCGUGAUGACGAGGCACUACGGUGCUGAAGCAACAAAUGCCCUGCUUCCAGGAAAAGCCUCUAAGCAUCAGGUAACAUCAAAUCGUACCCCAAACCGACACAGGUGGUCAGGUAGAGAAUACCAAGGCGCUUGAGAGAACUCGGGUGAAGGAACUAGGCAAAAUGGUGCCGUAACUUCGGGAGAAGGCACGCUGAUAUGUAGGUGAAGCGACUUGCUCGUGGAGCUGAAAUCAGUCGAAGAUACCAGCUGGCUGCAACUGUUUAUUAAAAACACAGCACUGUGCAAACACGAAAGUGGACGUAUACGGUGUGACGCCUGCCCGGUGCCGGAAGGUUAAUUGAUGGGGUCAGCGCAAGCGAAGCUCUUGAUCGAAGCCCCGGUAAACGGCGGCCGUAACUAUAACGGUCCUAAGGUAGCGAAAUUCCUUGUCGGGUAAGUUCCGACCUGCACGAAUGGCGUAAUGAUGGCCAGGCUGUCUCCACCCGAGACUCAGUGAAAUUGAACUCGCUGUGAAGAUGCAGUGUACCCGCGGCAAGACGGAAAGACCCCGUGAACCUUUACUAUAGCUUGACACUGAACAUUGAGCCUUGAUGUGUAGGAUAGGUGGGAGGCUUGGAAGUGUGGACGCCAGUCUGCAUGGAGCCGACCUUGAAAUACCACCCUUUAAUGUUUGAUGUUCUAACGUUGACCCGUAAUCCGGGUUGCGGACAGUGUCUGGUGGGUAGUUUGACUGGGGCGGUCUCCUCCUAAAGAGUAACGGAGGAGCACGAAGGUUGGCUAAUCCUGGUCGGACAUCAGGAGGUUAGUGCAAUGGCAUAAGCCAGCUUGACUGCGAGCGUGACGGCGCGAGCAGGUGCGAAAGCAGGUCAUAGUGAUCCGGUGGUUCUGAAUGGAAGGGCCAUCGCUCAACGGAUAAAAGGUACUCCGGGGAUAACAGGCUGAUACCGCCCAAGAGUUCAUAUCGACGGCGGUGUUUGGCACCUCGAUGUCGGCUCAUCACAUCCUGGGGCUGAAGUAGGUCCCAAGGGUAUGGCUGUUCGCCAUUUAAAGUGGUACGCGAGCUGGGUUUAGAACGUCGUGAGACAGUUCGGUCCCUAUCUGCCGUGGGCGCUGGAGAACUGAGGGGGGCUGCUCCUAGUACGAGAGGACCGGAGUGGACGCAUCACUGGUGUUCGGGUUGUCAUGCCAAUGGCACUGCCCGGUAGCUAAAUGCGGAAGAGAUAAGUGCUGAAAGCAUCUAAGCACGAAACUUGCCCCGAGAUGAGUUCUCCCUGACUCCUUGAGAGUCCUGAAGGAACGUUGAAGACGACGACGUUGAUAGGCCGGGUGUGUAAGCGCAGCGAUGCGUUGAGCUAACCGGUACUAAUGAACCGUGAGGCUUAACCUU
rnacentral:rRNA from 1 species